UACGUAGGGGCAAGCGUUGUCCGGAUUCAUUGGGCGUAAAGAGCGUGUAGGCGCCAGGUAGGUCGGUUGUGAAAACUGGAGGCUCAACCUUCAGACGUCGACCGAAACCAUCUGGCUAGAGUCCGGGAGAGGAGAGUGGAAUUCCUGGUGUAGCGGUGAAAUGCGCAGAUAUCAGGAAGAACACCCGUGGCGAAAGCGGCUCUCUGGAACGGUACUGACGCUGAGACGCGAAAGCGUGGGGAGCGAACAGG
rnacentral:rRNA from 1 species